AGAAAAGUCACAAAUUCCUUCUACAUGACUUGGAAGCUCUGCCGUUGCAUUUUCUUCAAGCAAGUUCUUCAAUUGAGAAUUUCCCUCCACCAUGAAAGAAAACCUGCAUGCUCAAUAAAAUUAGAAUGGUCAGUUCUACAAAACACCCCAAAUUGGAAUGGUCUCUCUUUUCCAGUAAACUCAAUGUCAAAAUCUAGGAUAUAUCAAAAGUCAACAAUUCAUAAAUUCAAGGUACAACAAAGAGAGACAAGUUACAAAGUAUAGAAGGAAAUGACUAAAUUGAAUCCAAGAAACCAUUAUAAAUUUUACUAAACUCUGAGGGAAGUCGCAGAUGAAAUUCCGCUAACGAAAUGCCCCCUGCUCGUGAUUGGUAAUUAGUAUAUUAAAAUUAUAAUAGAUAAAUUUAACCAACCAUGAUAAUUACAAACGGUAGAUAGUAAAUCAAAUCAAAAUAGCAAAUGAACAAAACGACCAUAAUGUUUAUGGUUUACAUCAAACUAAACGCAGGGUACAAACACGCCAGAAGAAAUUCCAAAAUUCAGCACAUACAAAACAUCUCCGGAAAUAGCCAUAACUAUGACCACGACGACUACGACGAACCAAUUAUAACAGAAAUUGAAGCAUGUAAAAUUAAGCACAAAACAUCCCAAGAAAAUUAGAUUCAAAAUUGCAGAGUGAUAGAUCAGUGCUUUUAGGAGACACAUAGUAGAAAACGAAACAAAAUAUUACCCAAGUUAUGGUUUAGGAUUAGGGUUUAUGGUUAUGAUUUAGGGUUUGAGCUUCUGGGUUUGGUGUUUAUGGUGUGGGGUUUGGUGUUUAAGUUAGGGUUAGGGUUUAGGGGUUAGAGAUUGGGACCCACUCUGGGACCGGGAAUGGCUUGGGUAACGGAGCCGGUGAACUCAACGAGGUCCAAAGCCUUCUCCUGAAUCCAUGGCAGCUCCUCCUCCACUUCCACUUCCACUUCCACUUCCUUCUCUUUCUCUUUCUCUUUCUCUUGCUUCGUAGCGUUGUUGAAGGAGUUUGGCGUGGCUAAGCAUGUUGUUGAAAACGGUGUGCGUCGUGGAAAGAGAAGAGUGAAAGUUGUGCAUUUGGUUGAGUGAAAAGGAAAUGGCGAGUGUUUUCUGGGAGGAAGAAACUGAGAAGCAAUAGAACUACACUGAGAAGAAGUAAAAG
rnacentral:lncRNA from 1 species